GUUAUUUGAUGUGCGUUUUUUCUUUACCGGUCAAUGAAUCAGUAUGUAAUGAUUUAUUCUUCAGUGCUGACGGCUGUGAUAUAAAGACACGAUUCCGACGCAUUUUCAAAAGAGUUUAAUUCUGAGAAGCAGGCAUUCCUCAGAUGUUUCAAACCAGUUACUCUCGAUGGACAAGUCGUCAGCGGUGUGGCCCUUCUUCCCGAUGUUGCGGUCAUAUUAAUAAAUGGAAAAGAAUUCCAAUUUCUAAAACAGGUUCAGCGAACAGAGAAAAGGAUAAACCCGGUGGAGGAAGCUCUGAGGUUCGUUUUAUGACAUCAUGACCCUGAAGAUAUAUGCGAAAAAUAUAUCAACGAUUUUAUAGGUCGAGGUGUUUUUGCCAAAAAGAAAAUGAUCAAAAAUGGAAAAUUCCUUGCGGAAUACCAUGGCGUUUUAUCCAAAGCUGACGACAUGAAGGACAAAGA